UUAUUCAGAGUAGAACAACAGCGUUUAAUCCCUGAAUACACCACUGAAGAAGAAGUGCCGUAACAUAACCGUUAGGACAGUCAGUCUCCCCAGUUGGAGGACCCCUUAGAGACAAACGUUUCGUCCACGCAAUGUCUGGCGGCAGAUGCGGCGUCGGGAAACUAGAAAAUGUGGCUUUAGUUACAGGUGUGUUUGUUUCUCAUUACUCUCAACGCAAGUGCUAUUCAUUCGGGUUGAAGAAACGAGCUUCCCAUCUGCUACAGCAGUCUCCAGUUCCCACAACGGGCCGGUGUUGAUGGGAGGAGCUUUUGUGUUAAAUGAUAAUCAGUGGCUUGAAUUCACCCUAAUGACGAGAAUGAACGGAUGGCGGGCGGAUCUUCGGCGGCGCAUCCACAUUAUUUAUUCAGUGGAAGGUAACUUGGACGGACGGCAGAAUUCCAACAAUUUGAAAUUCAUCACAGCGGAGCGGAAGGCCUCGGGACUGGCUCCAUUAGCUGCUCUUCCGCCCUCAGAUCGUUUUUAAGAAUGAACGGAUGGCGGGCGGACCUUCGGCGGCGCAUCCACAUUAUUUAUUCAGUGGAAGGUAACUUGGACGGACGGCAGAAUUCCAACAAUUUGAAAUUCAUCACAGCGGAGCGGAAGGCCUUGGGACUGGCUCCAUUAGCUGCUCUUCCGCCCUGCGAUCGUU